rnacentral:lncRNA from 1 species
UUCAUUUUUGUCGAGCCUUCGACUUUAGUCGAAAAAGCGAGACAUAGCGAUCCUACAUUCCGUCGGCGUCGGCGUCGUCGUCGUCGGCGGCGUCCACAAAAAUUCACUCUGUGGUUAAAGUUUUUGAAAUUUUAAUAACUUUCUUAAACUAUCCUUGAAUUGUACGAAACUUGGACAGAAGCUUGUUUAUGUUCAUAAGAUAGUAUCCAGAAG